CUCCUACGGGAGGCAGCAGUGGGGAAUAUUGGACAAUGGGCGAAAGCCUGAUCCAGCCAUGCCGCGUGUGUGAAGAAGGUCUUCGGAUUGUAAAGCACUUUAAGUUGGGAGGAAGGGCAGUAAGCUAAUACCUUGCUGUUUUGACGUUACCGACAGAAUAAGCACCGGCUAACUCUGUGCCAGCAGCCGCGGUAAUA
rnacentral:rRNA from 1 species